rnacentral:rRNA from 1 species
AUUGAACGCUAGCGGCAUGCCUUACACAUGCAAGUCGAACGGCAGCGCGGGAGCAAUCCUGGCGGCGAGUGGCGAACGGGUGAGUAAUACAUCGGAACGUACCCAUUAGUGGGGGAUAACGUAGCGAAAGCUACGCUAAUACCGCAUACGCACUAAGGUGGAAAGCGGGGGAUCGCAAGACCUCGCGCUAUUGGAGCGGCCGAUGGCAGAUUAGCUAGUUGGUGGGUAAAGGCCUACCAAGGCGACGAUCCGUAACUGGUCUGAGAGGAUGAUCAGUCACACUGGAACUGAGACACGGUCCAGACUCCUACGGGUGGCUG